rnacentral:lncRNA from 1 species
CCAACUCUUCCACCUCCGGUUUACACUCCCCCGGUUCACAAGCCCACACUCCCACCUCCGGUUUACACACCACCAGCUUACAAGCCCACCCUCCCACCUCCGGUUUACACUCCACCGGUUUACAAGCCUACCCUCCCUCCUCCAGUAUACUACACCUCACCGGUUUACAAGCAUACACCCUCACCUCCGGUUUACACUAAGCCAACUAUCCCACCUCCGGUUUACACCCCUCCGGUAUACAAGCAUACCCCCUCACCUCCGGUUUACACUAAGCCAACUAUCCCACCUCCGGUUUACACCCCACCGGUUUACAAGCCAACUCUCUCACCUCCGGUUUACACUAAGCCAACUAUCCCACCUCCGGUUUACACUCCACCGGUUUACAAGCCAACUCUCUCACCUCCGGUUUACACUAAGCCAACUAUCCCACCUCCGGUUUACACUCCACCGGUUUACAAGCCUACUCUCUCACCUCCGGUCUACAAAAAGUCUCCAAGCUAUUCGUCUCCUCCUCCUCCAUAUGUACCAGAACCAACCUACACUCCACCCACCAAGCCAUACGUCCC